CAGCAGACAAGCCUCGCGGCUACAUACUUGUAGAUGGCGGACACUCGCAGGAGGCAGUGGAAACGGUACGUAGUAUGGCGAUGCUACAUAAAUCUUUUGGAAACCAGACACAAUCUGGAAAAUUGGAAAUCGUCAACGUUCAGUCAACAGACGAUCCGUGUGGUUUGAUUGAAGACUAUCCUGUUGUACAUUUGAGUAGACGGUGUCUACAGAC